CAUCCACUUACUUGUGAAACCUGGAGCGUACGACUGCCACUAAUUCCAGACAGAUCAGCAUUACUAGAGAAUACAUCAGUAAUGCCCAUUUCCAUGAACAAAUCUUUGACAUCAUAAGACCCACUAAUGGAAAUCCUUGAUUUGUAUUAUUGACUUCAUGGCAAGCUUUUCCACGGUGACAUUGUGUGACAACACAAAGACCAGCAAGGAAUGUACACAGGAGAAAUAAGAUGCAACAUCAAUUUCAAAAUAAAAUGUUGUGUGCCAGGUGUGACCUGCAAUGCCGUGAACCAGUAGCAGUCCCACCUUCCUGCUAAUCACAAUUUCAACUCUCCAACUAUGUCAUGAAACCACAUUAACUGGAUUCAUAGUGGUCAUUCCUCUACUGAACUAGAUCCUACUUCUUAAUUAUUUUUAAGGGGAAUAAAAUUCCAGAAUACUUAAAUAAUCAAAGAUGUGUGGUUUAC